rnacentral:lncRNA from 1 species
AAAAAAAAAAAAGAAUCUCACUCUUCAAGUCAUACAGAAGGACAACUGGGGCAUGGAACAGGAUGGGGCCAGCAGAUCCACAAGGUGGGAGAGCAUGUGCUCCUCUGGGCUGUGGCUUUUCUCCUCUGCUUGUGCCCUGCUUCCCCAAAGAGGGUGAACUCCAGGGGACAGAGACUUCCUUCCAUCUCAAAGUCCUAGCAUCAUCCGCACUCCACCUUUCCCUCACCCACCAACCCCUGCCCAUCCCGCCUCUGCUAGAGCCUUCUCUCUCCUCCCUGCUCCUCCUCCCAAUGGGCUUCCUCUGGCCCGCAUCACCUCUCAGCAGCAUCCUCUUUGGAAACAUGAACAGGUGAGUGAGAAAUGAGACUCCGUGAUCAUGUUUCCCUCUGGGUGAGGAAUGGGCUUUGUGGUGGGCGGAACGUGUGAGAGGCCAUGUGGGAUGGGACAAACUCUCUUCGUCACAGUGGCCUUGGUGAGUGGUAGCUCUUGCAUGUACACCAUUAUGUGACAACAACAGAAAGGGCAAAAGGGGGCACAGAGGAAUUGUAGGUCACCCAGUCUCCCCUCAGAAAAGGCUGGGAUGAAGGCAUCCACUACGGUUGCUAGAAGGAUUUAAUGAGAGUAGGUGUGACGCACUUAGCAUCCUUCCUGUGCACAGUGCAAGUGCUCCAGAAAUGACACUGUAAUGCUGCCUCGACCACAGAUACAGGCUCCUCCACCUUAAGAACACCUUUCCCCCGCCCCCCGCGCCACUUGGAGCUCAACCACCACCACCUCUGGCCUCAACACCACCUCACCCCCAAUGAGUCCUCUUGCCCUCUUGCUCACAGCCUCUUACUCAAGAGAGCAAGAGGAGAGAGAAGGCCCUAGCAAAGGCGGGAUGGGCAGGGGUUGGUGGGUGAGGGAGAGGGUGGAGUGCAGACGAUGCUAAGGCUUUGAGAUGGAAGGAAGUCCCUGUCCCCUGGAGUUCACCCUCUUUGGGGAAGCAGGGCAUCAUAGCAGUUAAGACCAAAGUCAGACCAUGUCCUGCUCAGGCCUCCCCAGUGGCUUCCCAUUUUAUUCAGAGGAAAGUCCCCAACAGGCUGCGGCCCCUGCUACCUCAUGGGCCGAAUGUCCUAGCCUCUCCUCUUGCUAACACAACACCUCCCUCUGUGCUGUUCCUCAAAGGCCCCGCUCUUGCUCCGGCUCCUGCUCCCACUUCUGGGACUUUGCAUCUGCUCAUCCCCCUGCCAGAAUGCUCGCUCCACCAACACGCCCAAGACUCCCUGCAUUUGUGCCUUGCUCAAACGUCUUAUUAGGGAAACCCCCUAGAUAACCCACUCACACCUUUCCCUGGCACCUUUAUCUGGGUUUAGUUUUCCCCAAGGCACUUAACGUCUGAUACUUACUAGCACAUCCACGAGAUAGAACUACUUACAUUUGUGUUUUGUCUGUCUCCUCCUGCCUUCAUUGGAAUCUAAGUUCUAAGAGGGCAGACACUCUAGCUGUUUUGAGACAUCAAUAUCUGGGUUAAGAGCCCAGAUUCUGGAGCCAGAUGGCCAGAAUGAGACUGUGGCUCUCUUACUUGCUGGCUGUGUGACCUUGGGUUAGUUACUAAACCUCUCUGUGCACCCACCAUUCUUAUUUUAAAAAUGAGGAUCACAACAGUGCCUUACGGUUGUUAUAAAAACAGUUAAUUUAUAUGAAGUGCUUACAAUAGUGGCUGACACACAGUAAUGCUGUAUAAAUGUUUGCUGCUGCUGCUGCUGUUAUUAUUGUCUGCUGAAUCUAGGGUCCAGAAUAGGCCUAUCUUCACAGAAUAAUAAGAGAAUAAUCAUUGUCACAGAUUUCAGAUCCACAGCCUCAUGAGAAUAACUGCACACAGCAGGCUCUGGAAGAAAGCUUUACAGAGAACACGUGAUGUUUUUAAUCAAGUGGAGAGGAGUUGGAAGAGUCAACACUUGAGUUAAAACCUUCAUAUGGGCAGGGUUUUGUGGGACCCCAACCACCCUCUCAGCAAAAUCCAUGCAAUCGGGCCAGGCGCGGUGACUCACGCCUGUAAUCACAGCACUUUGGGAGGCCAAGACGGGGAUCAUUUGAGGUCAGGAGUUCAAGACCAGCCUGGACAACAUGGUGAAACCCCGGCUCUACUAAAAAUACAAAAAUUAGCCAGGCAUGGUGGCAGGCACCUGUAAUCCCAGCUACUCGGGAGGCUGAGGCAGGAGAAUCGCUUGAGCCUGGGAGGCAGAGGUUGCAGUGAGCCAAGAUUGCACCACUGCACUCCGGCCUGGGUGACAGCCAAACUCCGUCUCAAAAAAAAAAAAAAAAAAUCCAUGUGAUACCUUUGCUACCUGGCAUGAGGGCGUGAUGCUACCCAUUAUAUUGUGCAUUCCACCAAAAAGAAGACAGCAAUGGGAUUCAGCCCCUCAGAAGGAAGGACUCUGCCUCUUAUUCUGAAAAUUCCUCUCUGUCAGACCCGGCACCACUGAAAGGUGAGUCUUAGCAUCUGACUACCAGGUGGGAGAGGACAAGGAAAUGAGCCCAGGCCAGGGGAUCCAGGGCACCUAUAUAUUGGGAGAACUGAAACUGAGUGCAGGUGUGUAUGUCUGUGUGUGGUAGAGCACAGCUGUGCUAUUUUCAAACUCAAAAUUUUGUUACAUCUAAGAAAAGUCUUCACAUGAUGUCUGAAAAGCCAGCUUAGCAAAGAGGGUAACAUAAAGGUGCUAGGUCUGGGCUUGGUAUAAUCCCACGACACCGAGGCCCACCUCCUGGGACAAUGUGGUAGAAGGACAGACCCCUUCCCUCCGGGUGUCUGUAUGGAGACUGCAGGGAACACCGGGACACACCUGCAAGGCACAGUUUCUUUUGCUGUCAACAUGCAUGAUUCCCAGGGUAAACAAGGGACCUUCAGGUAAUUCAUUACACAGAAAUUUCCUGGCAAGAGCCUGGCCAUGACCUGUGGCAAAAUGGGAACAGAGAGUCCCCGGGGUCAAUUCUGAGGCUGACUUACAGUGUGGUCUCAGAACUGCCCUUUAGGCCUGAGUUCCGCCACAUUCCUUGCCGAGGAGAGAUGAUCACUGAGUGAAAUGUGGGGUGGGGACUGCUAUCCUCAAAGCUGCUCCUGCCUGGCGGAGGGUAUUCAGGGAGGACUCGGAGCACAGACCCUGCCCUGCCAACCUCCUAGCCUUUGAGUCAGGACACAUCACUGAACCUCCCCAAACCUCAGUUUCCUCAUUUGCUAAAUGGACCAUGACAUUUGCUUAACCUGGAGGCUGCAGGGAAAAUUUCCUGCAUCAAAAAUAAGAGUAACGCCUCCCCUCAAUUCUUUCCCACAUGCCAGGUACUCUCAGGAGGUUCUGCUUAUGCAGAUGUGUGUGAAAGUAUUUUGUAUCGUCACAAUCUAAAGAGCUAUAAGGCAUUUUUCUUCUUUUGAAUCGUAGUCAAAGUGCCCCUUUUCACAGAAGGUCCACAGGGAAGUCACAGUUAGGUCUGAGCCAUGUACCUCAAUGCAGGAAAUUAUCCUUACCCUGGAAGAGGUUCACAGAAGCAACCACAAGGAUGGUUAAAUCCUCUCACAAAACCUGGCUUCGGGGGACAUAACGGAUGCUCCACAUGGGUGGCUGGAAGACAGUGCAGAAUCUCGGAACUGUGGGGUGCAGAAGAGAAAGCUCGAUAUCGCAGGAAGGCAUGGCAGCUCCUCCGGGCAUCACUCACCGUUGGAACUGAUGGUCCCAUCCUCAUAUCUCUUGACUAGCACCAAGUCCACAAAAUCUCUGGGAGAAAUGAGCUUCAUGGCAGCGGAGGGAGUGGAGGUUCUGCUUACACACAGGGUCUGCCAAACCAAAGAAGCAUGUAGCUGUGACUGCUGGCCAGACAUCUUCUCCCAACUCCCACCCCAUCCCUCAAGGUCUGGGAAAGGUAUUAAGACUUGGGGCAUCGUGUGUUGCUGCAGAACUUUUCAUCAGGGACACUUUCGGCCUCAGGAAAUUAAUCUUCGAAUGGCAUGAGAUGCAUGGGGGCACUUGAGCACUUUGCAAUGGGUGCAAUGAGAAUAAAUUUCCAGGAA